rnacentral:lncRNA from 1 species
CUUGCCAAAUGAUCCUGAAACCAAACCUCCAGCUUCCUUUUUGUUGUAAUCAGACUACAAAAUAUCAUUAUUUAUAGUAGCUGAGGCUUGUGAUUAUGGUUGAACUUAAGUUGUAAUUGUAGUUAGUUAUUAUUAUUAUGAUUAUUAACGAAUGAAUUUGCUGUUUUGUUUGAUUACAAUUUACAAAUAAAUGAGAAAUUCUGUCUCUUUCUCUACUUUCUAUAUAUUUUUGCUUAUUUUGUUGAAGAUAAA